rnacentral:rRNA from 1 species
GACGAACGCUGGCGGCGUGCUUAACACAUGCAAGUCGAACGGAAAGGCCCUGCUUGCCGGGUACUCGAGUGGCGAACGGGUGAGUAACACGUGGGUGAUCUGCCCUGCACUUCGGGAUAAGCUUGGGAAACUGGGUCUAAUACCGGAUAGGAGCCAUCUUUAGUGUGGUGGUUGGAAAGUUUUUUCGGUGUAGGAUGAGCUCGCGGCCUAUCAGCUUGUUGGUGGGGUAAUGGCCUACCAAGGCGGCGACGGGUAGCCGGCCUGAGAGGGUGUACAGCCACAUUGGGACUGAGAUACGGCCCAGACUCCUACGGGAGGCAGCAGUGGGGAAUAUUGCACAAUGGGCGCAAGCCUGAUGCAGCGACGCCGCGUGGGGGAUGAAGGCCUUCGGGUUGUAAACUCCUUUCGCUAGGGACGAAGCUUUGUUGUGACGGUACCUAGAUAAGAAGCACCGGCUAACUACGUG